rnacentral:lncRNA from 13 species
GGGAGGGGGAAUGCGAGCAGAGUUCUGGAUGCAGUAGAGAGGGAGCUACCUGGAGAUGGAGGAUGAAUAUUCAUGCACAGGCCUUGGGGGCUGCAACAUCUCUGGCACAAUGCUGAGCAUCAGGGCUCUAAAGACUUGGCCAUGAAAAAAGCUGAAGUCCCCAGAAGAAGAGAUAAGACUUGUACUACAAGGCUGUCCAUCAAGAGAUGGGAUUUCACUAUAUUGUCCAGGCUGGUCUCGAGCUCCUGGGCUCAACUGGUCCUCCUGCCUCACCCUCCCAAGUAGCUUUGUCUUUCUCAAACACAUUGAGCACCUUCCUCCUUCAUUCUCCAGGUAGGAUGUAGGCACGAGCCUUACAGGCAUGAGCUGCUCAGCUCA